CUCUCACCAGGCAGGUCCAGAGGAAGUGGCGGGCGCUGAGGCCCCUCUCCCAGGCCAGCGUGCAGAAGAGGGUGUGCAGUAGCCGCCAGCGGAGCAGCACAGCACAGCGGUAGAAGGUGAACUUGGCCUGCUGCAGGGACAGGCGUGGAGGGUCACCCACCGCCUAUGUCUGAGCCCUUUCCCCUAGAGGCCACAGGCCUCCAUGGGCACUGGAGGCAGCCUGCUGUGCGGGUGUUCCCUGGUUCUGUCCUGCUUGUGCCCCUCGGCAAGCCUCCCCGACCCUGGCAACAGCACCUGGCCCCCCGGAGCCCAGGCUGGUCUGCCCGCGGCCCUGGCCCUGCCCCUUCCACGGUUGCCCCGUAUCCUUUUCCCCAUGGCAGGGAGACCCGCGAGGCCAAGCUCUGACUUCGUGGGCUGUGCACAGGGCAUGUGCUGCCACGGCAGGCAGGGCACAGUCCAUAUUCACACAAGCUCUGUGAGCUGCUGGACCCCCUGCCCCGUUACAGGGACUGGGGGCACAGCAGUGAGCAGAAAAGACCGGGUCCUGCCGCAUCGACGGCAAGUCUCGCUCGCAUGCGUGUGCGCAGUGGGGGAGCGGGCAGGCCAACUGUGGUCACAGAAACCAGUGCAGAUGGCCAGACCCUCUGCCCGCCACUUGCUGCCCCGUGGGAGCUCCCCCAACUCUCAGGCAGUGCUGCUGCCAUCCGUCUGCCCCGUACCCUGGCCUCCUGUGGGUCCCAGCCCUGGCCAAGGUGAAGGCCUAUCACCUGCCUUUCCUGGGGUGGGCACUGACCGUGGCGACAGCUGGGCAUUGGUCCUUCAGGUGUAGGAGCAGGGGCACCAUGCUCUGGUGCACCUGGGUCCGCAGGCCGCUCAGCUCCCUGUCUGCCAUGGCCGCCACCAGGUCCCCGAACAGUGCCAUGGCUGCCGCCCGAAUCCCGUCCCGCUCCUGCAAGGCAGAGGCUCAGAGGCACGGCCAGACCUGUCCAGGGGUCCCAGCUUUGGUCCAAGUUGGGACCCCACACCUUGUAGGGCCCAGGCCUCAUGAAUGCAUUUGAGGGGCGCCUAUCCCCCAGAUUCCCCAGUGAAGGAAAAACAGCCACGCUAACCGUGCUGACAUGUCAGAAAGCAAAUCUGGGUAGGCUGUCGUGGGGCCGGAGACCACUGCACUUGGAGACUGAACGUGAGAACUAGUUCAGCCCUGUGGAGAAGGGGGUCUCACACUGUCACCCAGGCUGGAGUACAGUGGUGUGACCAUAGCUUACUGCAGCCUUGACCUCCCAGGCUCAAGCAAUCCUCCCAACAUAACCUCCUGAGUAGCUGGGUCUACAGCCAGUUCCGUCUUCUCCACUUGAUUGCGUGUUUGCAGUGAUUUCCUGAGUUAUCGGGAUGAAUGGUCAGAAAGCAGUGUGCCCACCAAUGGAUGUUUCCUGCCAUUGGGCCCCUUAGCAGUGACUUGGGUGCAAACCAGGGUGAUUUUUACAACUUUUAAACAAGUUUAAAGCAGCUUUGUUGGCUUUCUUAGCUGUUUGCUUUGAAAAUAUUAAAUUCAUUUUCAGCAAGUGA
rnacentral:lncRNA from 1 species